rnacentral:rRNA from 1 species
AGUGAACGCUGGCGGUAGGCCUAACAUAUGCGAGUCGAACGGCAGCACAGUAAGAGCUUGCUCUUACGGGUGGCGAGUGGCGGACGGGUGAGGAAUACAUCGGAAUCUACUUUUUCGUGGGGGAUAACGUAGGGAAACUUACGCUAAUACCGCAUACGACCUACGGGUGAAAGCAGGGGAUCUUCGGACCUUGCGCGAUUGAAUGAGCCGAUGUCGGAUUAGCUAGUUGGCGGGGUAAAGGCCCACCAAGGCGACGAUCCGUAGCUGGUCUGAGAGGAUGAUCAGCCACACUGGAACUGAGACACGGUCCAGACUCCUACGGGAGGCAGCAGUGGGGAAUAUUGGACAAUGGGCGCAAGCCUGAUCCAGCCAUACCGCGUGGGUGAAGAAGGCCUUCGGGUUGUAAAGCCCUUUUGUUGGGAAAGAAAAGCAGCAGGUUAAUACCCCGCUGUUCUGACGGUACCCAAAGAAUAAGCACCGGCUAACUUCGUG